rnacentral:tRNA from 1 species
CAUUGAGAAGCUAACAUAGCGUUAACCUUUUAAGUUAAAGACUGAGAAUGCAAGCUUCUCCUUAAUGA